GGGGCGUAACGGCCCCCUUACUUCGGUACAUCCAAGACAGGUGGUGCAUGGUUGUCGUCAGCUCGUGUCGUGAGAUGUUGGGUUAAGUCCCGCAACGAGCGCAACCCCUAUCUUUAGUAGCCAGCGGAAGAGCCGGGCACUCUAGAGAGACUGCCGGGGAUAACCCGGAGGAAGGUGGGGAUGACGUCAAAUCAUCAUGCCCCUUAUGAUUUGGGCUACACACGUGCUACAAUGGCGUAAACAGAGGGAAGCGAGCCUGCGAGGGGGAGCAAAUCCCAAAAAUAACGUCCCAGCUCGGAUUGUAGUCUGCAACCCGACCACAUGAAGCUGGAAUCGCUAGUAAUCGCGGAUCAGAAUGCCGCGGUGAAUACGUUCCCGGGCCUUGUACACACCGA
rnacentral:rRNA from 1 species